CCAUUCGGUCCUCCUUUUGUUAACGCUCUGGCAUCAUGUCUACGCCAGCUCCCGCGCAAUCCGGCGCCAUCGCGCUUUGGGCGAGCAUGGCCAUGGGGAGUAGAGAGGUGGAAACCGAGCUGACGCCUGCCUGACCCUGGCGAUGGUGGCGCGCGCCGGGAAGGACUGAUUGGAGAAUGGCGCCAAAUGGGUCACGGAUGGCGAGGGGGCACAGGAGCUCUCGAUGUGACCUGGCGCUGUGGAUGUGAUGCACAGCAGCUUGAGUGGGACUGCUCCGCUGUCCUCAUGAGAGAACGCUUUUUCUGAAGAUGGGAGGUGGCUAAUGAAAGAAGGUGAGGUCUCUCGGGCCCUUGCUGUCUCCAGUGCGAUGGGAACUGCACGGGUACGGAAACUUAGGGCCCACAGAACUUUGUUUGAGUUUGGGAAUAGGGCAUC
ensembl:lincRNA 5430416N02Rik RIKEN cDNA 5430416N02 gene